AACGCACAUUGCGCCCCUUGGUAUUCCAUGGGGCAUGCCUGUUCGAGCGUCAUUUGUACCUUCAAGCUCUGCUUGGUGUUGGGUGUUUGUCUCGCCUCUGCGCGCAGACUCGCCUCAAAACAAUUGGCAGCCGGCGUAUUGAUUUCGGAGCGCAGUACAUCUCGCGCUUUGCACUCAUAACGACGACGUCCAAAAGUACAUUUUUACACUCUUGACCUCGGAUCAGGUAGGGAUACCCGCUGAACUUAA
rnacentral:misc_RNA from 2 species